ACUCAAAUGAAUUGACGGGAGCCCGCACAAGCGGUGGAGCAUGUGGUUUAAUUCGACGAUAAGCGAGAAACCUUACCAGGUCUAGACAUUCAGCUGCGCGCCCUAAGAAACUAGGGAAGCCUUCGAGGGUGCUGAACAGGUGCUGCAUGGCUGUCGUCAGCUCGUGUCGUGAGAUGUUGGGUUAAGUCCUCUAACGAGCGCAACCCCUGUCGAGUGUUACAUAUUCGCUCGAGACUGCCGGCGAUAAGCCGGAGGAAGGAAGGGAUGACGUCAAGUCAGCAUGGUCCUCUGACGACCUGGGCCACACACGUGCUACAAUGGGGUGCAACAAUGGGUUGCCAAACCGCGAGGUGGAGCCAAUCCCACCAAACCACCCCUCAGUUCGGAUUGAAGGCUGCAACUCGCCUUCAUGAAGCUGGAAUCGCUAGUAACCGCAGAUCAUCUACGCUGCGGUGAAUACGUUCUCGGGCUUUGUACACACCGCCCGU
rnacentral:rRNA from 1 species